AUACGGAGGGGGUUAGCGUUGUUCGGAAUUACUGGGCGUAAAGCGCACGUAGGCGGACUGGAAAGUUGGGGGUGAAAUCCCGGGGCUCAACCCCGGAACUGCCUCCAAAACUUCCAAUCUAGAGAUCGAGAGAGGUGAGUGGAAUUCCAAGUGUAGAGGUGAAAUUCGUAGAUAUUUGGAGGAACACCAGUGGCGAAGGCAGCUCACUGGCUCGAUACUGACGCUGAGGUGCGAAAGCGUGGGGAGCAAACAGGAUUAGAAACCCCAGUAGUCC
rnacentral:rRNA from 1 species